ACACGACUACAUUAGAUACCCCGGUAGUCCCAGCCCUAAACGAUGCGCGUUAGGUGUAUCGGUGACCACGAGUCACCGAGGUGCCGAAGGGAAACCGUGAAACGUGCCGCCUGGGAAGUACGGUCGCAAGGCUGAAACUUAGAGGAAUUGGCGGGGGAGCACCACAACGGGUGGAGCCUGCGGUUUAAUUGGACUCAACGCCGGGAAGCUCACCGGAUAAGACAGCGGAAUGAUUGCCGGGCUGAAGACCCUGCAUGACCAGCUG
rnacentral:rRNA from 1 species